GGGGCCAUAGCUCAAUGGCAGAGCAUCUGCUUGGCAUGCAGAAGAUUCCGGUUUCAGUCCCCAUGGUCUCC
rnacentral:tRNA from 1 species